rnacentral:rRNA from 1 species
AUGGUGCUCGGGAUGGCACGCUGCAUGCUCAAGGCAAAGCAGGUGCCGAGCACGUAUUGGGAGGAGGCCGUGCUCACGGCCGCCUUAAUCCUCAACCGCUCCUUCACAAGGAGCGUCGAUGGCAAGACGCCUUAUGAGGCGUGGUACGGAAGGAAGCCCGAUGUACGCUUCCUCCGCACCUUUGGCUGCGUCGGGCAUGUCAAGACGGCGCGCCCACAGCUGAAGAAGCUCGACGACAGGAGCACCCCGAUGGUGUUCAUGGGCUACGGGACGGGCUCUAAGGCAUACAAGAUGUACGACCCCGUCUCAAAGCGUGUACAUGUCUCGCGCAACGUCAUCUUCGACGAAGAUGCGCGAUGGACUUGGGAGACAUCGGGGGAGUCCCCGGCAAGCAGCUCCUUCACCGUACAGUACCCGAUGUACUCUACAACCCCGGGAAGCAAGACCUCGGGAAUUGCCACGCCGGGAAGCCCGGGAGGUGUGGAUCCGGGAACCGCAACCCCGAGAACACCGUCCUCGGGUAUGGUGUCCCCAGACACCCCGACAUCAAGCAAGGUGGUUCCCAGGAGGCUGGUCGCGACCCCGCCAACAGCAAGGUCGGAGCUGUUCGACGCCGACGACAGUGUUGGCGCCCCCCACAGGUUUCGGCGCAUGGGGGAUCUCCUCGGCGAGGCUGCGGCAACACCGCAACAGCCCGAGGAAGAGGGCGUUGAUGACAAGGACGUCUUGUAUAUGAUGGCCGACGAGGAGCCGACCACGUUCGUGGAGGCCGAGCAAGAGGAUUGCUGGCGCCACGCGAUGCUGGACGAGCUGGCGUCGAUCAAUGACAACGCCACUUGGACACUCACCACACUGCCUGCUGGGCACCGAGCCAUCGGGCUCAAGUGGGUGUUCAAGGUGAAGAAGGACGAGCACGAUGCAAUUGUCAAGCACAAGGCGCGCCUCGUUGCAUAG